rnacentral:rRNA from 1 species
CCUACGGGUGGCAGCAGUGAGGAAUAUUGGUCAAUGGACGCAAGUCUGAACCAGCCAUGCCGCGUGCAGGAAGACGGCUCUAUGAGUUUUAAACUGCUUUUGUACGAGGGUAAACGCAGAUACGCGUAUCUGUCUGAAAGUAUCGUACGAAUAAAGAUCGGCUAACUCCGUGCCAGCCGCCGCGGUAAUACGGAGGAUUCAAGCGUUAUCCGUAUUGAUUGGGUUUAAAGGGUGCGUAGGCGGUCGGAUAAGUUAGAGGUGAAAUCCCGAGGCUCAACUUCGGAAUUGCAUCUGAUACUGUUCGGCUAGAGAGUAGUUGAGGUAGGCGGAAUGGAUGGUGUAGCGGUGAAAUGCGUAGAGAUCAGAAAGAACACCGAUUGCGAAGGCAGCUUACCAAGCUACUUCUGACGUUGAGGCACGAAAGCGUGGGGAGCAAACAGGAGUAGAUACCCGGGUAGUC